rnacentral:rRNA from 1 species
CGCAGUAUCGAAGCUAACGCGUUAAGUUCGCCGCCUGGGGAGUACGGUCGCAAGACUGAAACUCAAAGGAAUUGACGGGGGCCCGCACAAGCGGUGGAGUAUGUGGUUUAAUUCGAUGCAACGCGAAGAACCUUACCUGGCCUUGACAUGUCGAGAACUUUCCAGAGAUGGAUCGGUGCCUUCGGGAACUCGAACACAGGUGCUGCAUGGCUGUCGUCAGCUCGUGUCGUGAGAUGUUGGGUUAAGUCCCGCAACGAGCGCAACCCUUGUCCUUAGUUGCCAGCACGUAAUGGUGGGAAC